rnacentral:rRNA from 1 species
GUCGAACGGGGCGGCGGGGAGGAAUCCCUUCGGGGAGGAGACCCCGCGGCCUAGUGGCGGACGGGUGAGUAACGCGUGGGCAACCUGCCCCAUACCGGGGGAUAACAGCCGGAAACGGCUGCUAACACCGCAUAAGCGCUGGGGGCCGCAUGGCUCCCAGCGGAAAACUCCGGUGGUAUGGGAUGGGCCCGCGUCUGAUUAGGCAGUUGGCGGGGCAGCGGCCCACCAAACCGACGAUCAGUAGCCGGCCUGAGAGGGCGGCCGGCCACAUUGGGACUGAGACACGGCCCAGACUCCUGCGGGAGGCAGCAGUGGGGAAUAUUGCACAAUGGGGGGAACCCUGAUGCAGCGACGCCGCGUGGGCGAGGAAGUAUUUCGGUAUGUAAAGCCCUAUCGGCAGGGAAGAAGAAAUGACGGUACCUGAAUAAGAAGCACCGGCUAAAUACGUGCCAGCAGCCGCGGUAAUACGUAUGGUGCAAGCGUUAUCCGGAUUUACUGGGCGUAAAGGGAGCGCAGGCGGCGCGCCAAGUCUGAUGUGAAACCCCGGGGCUCAACCCCGGGCAUGCAUUGGAAACUGGCGGGCUGGAGUGCCGGAGAGGUAAGCGGAAUUCCUAGUGUAGCGGUGAAAUGCGUAGAUAUUAGGAGGAACACCAGUGGCGAAGGCGGCUUACUGGACGACAACUGACGCUGAGGCUCGAAAGCGUGGGGAGCAAACAGGAUUAGAUACCCUGGUAGUCCACGCC